rnacentral:rRNA from 1 species
AGAGUUUGAUCCUGGCUCAGAAUGAACGCUGGCGGCGUGCUUAACACAUGCAAGUCGUACGAGAAAUUUUCUGUUCGCAGAAAAAGCAAAGUGGCGCACGGGUGAGUAACGCGUGGGUAAUCUACCUUCGAAUUGGGGAUAACAUUGCGAAAGUGGUGCUAAUACCGGAUAAUAUCCUUUAUUCUUUGGAAUAUUGGAUCAAAGGUGGCCUCUACAUGUAAGCUACUGUUUGAAGAUGAGCCCGCGUACCAUUAGCUUGUUGGUAGGGUAAUGGCCUACCAAGGCUACGAUGGUUAGCUGGUCUGAGAGGAUGAUCAGCCACACUGGAACUGACACACGGUCCAGACUCCUACGGGAGGCAGCAGUGGGGAAUUUUGCGCAAUGGGGGAAACCCUGACGCAGCAACGCCGCGUGAGUGAUGAAGGCUUUCGAGUCGUAAAGCUCUGUCAAGUGGGAAGAAAUUAAAGUAUGUUAAUACCAUGCUUUAUUGACGGUACCACUAAAGGAAGCACCGGCUAACUCCGUGCCAGCAGCCGCGGUAAUACGGAGGGUGCAAGCGUUAUUCGGAAUCAUUGGGCGUAAAGGGCGCGUAGGCGGCCUGGUAAGUCAGAUGUGAAAGCCCGGGGCUUAACCCCGGAAGUGCAUUUGAUACUGUUAGGCUUGAGUAUGGGAGAGGGAAGUGGAAUUUCUGGUGUAGAGGUGAAAUUCGUAGAUAUCAGAAGGAACACCGGUGGCGAAGGCGACUUCCUGGACCAAUACUGACGCUGAGGCGCGAAGGCGUGGGUAGCGAACAGGAUUAGAUACCCUGGUAGUCCACGCAGUAAACGUUGUUCACUAGGUGAGGCGGGUAUUGACUCCUGCUGUGCCGCAGUUAACGCAUUAAGUGAACCGCCUGGGAAGUACGAUCGCAAGAUUAAAACUCAAAGGAAUUGACGGGGGCCCGCACAAGCGGUGGAGCAUGUGGUUUAAUUCGAUGCAACGCGAAGAACCUUACCUGGAUUUGACAUCCUAGGAAUUCUAUUGAAAAAGUGAAGUGCCCUUAGGGGAACCUGGUGACAGGUGCUGCAUGGCUGUCGUCAGCUCAUGUCGUGAGAUGUUGGGUUAAGUCCCGCAACGAGCGCAACCCUUGUCUUUAGUUACCAUCAUUAAGUUGGGGACUCUAGAGACACUGCCCCGGUUAACGGGGAGGAAGGUGGGGAUGACGUCAAGUCCUCAUGGCCUUUAUGUCCAGGGCUACACACGUGCUACAAUGGACUGUACAAAGGGUUGCUAGCCUGCGAAGGUAAGCUAAUCCCAAAAAGCAGUCCUCAGUUCGGAUUGGAGUCUGCAACUCGACUCCAUGAAGUUGGAAUCGCUAGUAAUCGCGGAUCAGCAUGCCGCGGUGAAUACGUUCCCGGGCCUUGUACACACCGCCCGUCACACCAUGAGAGUUGGUUGUACCAGAAGUUGUUGGGCAAACCCUUUUUUGGGAUGCAAGCACCUAAGGUAUGAUUGAUGAUUAGGGUGAAGUCGAAACAAGGUA